AGGUGUUAUCCUAUCCAUUUGC
rnacentral:miRNA from 1 species